rnacentral:rRNA from 1 species
UACAGAGGGUGCGAGCGUUGUUCGGAAUUAUUGGGCGUAAAGAGCGCGUAGGCGGUUUGCUAAGUCUGGUGUGAAAUCCCUCGGCUUAACUGAGGAAGUGCAUUGGAUACUGGCAGGCUUGAGUGCGAGAGAGGAGAGUGGAAUUCCUGGUGUAGCGGUGAAAUGCGUAGAUAUCAGGAGGAACACCGGUGGCGAAGGCGGCUCUCUGGAUCGUAACUGACGCUGAGGCGCGAAAGCAUGGGGAG